rnacentral:rRNA from 1 species
UACAGAGGUCUCGAGCGUUGUUCGGAUUCAUUGGGCGUAAAGGGCGCGUAGGCGGCGGGGUAAGUCUGGUGUGAAAUCUCGGAGCUCAACUCCGAAAUUGCACUGGAUACUGCUCUGCUAGAGGGCUGGAGAGGAGAUCGGAAUUCACGGUGUAGCGGUGAAAUGCGUAGAUAUCUGCAGGAACACCCGUGGCGAAAGCGGCGCGCUGGACCACUACUGACGCUGAGGAACGAAAGCUAGGGGAGCAAACAGG